rnacentral:lncRNA from 1 species
UAUCUUAAAGAAAAGGUUUAUGUGGUGGAGGGUGUCUUGUUCGUGAGGAAGUAAGAUUCCAUAUCCAUCCAACUCCCUCCAAGUGCGUUUUUCUUCCGAGUUCUGAGAAAGAAAGAAAGAAAGCGAUUUACUUUCUUUGUUUUGUUUUGUUUUCUUUUAUUAGAUAAGAAGAGGAAGAAGAGACAAGUAGCUAGCCUAGAGAUGUGACAUUGAGACAGAGGCAAUUAACUGUUGAUGGGAGGCAUCAUGGGCAAUUACACGUGUGGGUGGGUUUUGUUUUUGAAAUUUCUGCAAAUAAAAGUGUGGUAGAAGAAAGGCAGGCAGGCAGGCAGGCAAGAAAGAUCUCAUCAUCUACCAACAUCAAAUUGAUUGAUUGAUGUUGAAGAAGAAGAAGAAGAAGAAGAAGAAGAAGAAGGUGCCCUAUUGGUUGUUAGGUUGGCUGCUAGCUUUUCAAUUAUUAACAUUUGUUUGUUGUUUUGGAUAGACAGAAACAACAACAACGUAACAGCU